rnacentral:lncRNA from 1 species
GAAGGUACUUGCACUGGUAGAAAAAGAGAGGUGAGGCCGGCGUCACAGCUCACUAGGCUAAUCCUCCUCCUGUGGUGCCGGCACCCCGGGUUCUAGUCCCGGUUGGGGCGCUGGAUUCUGUCCCGGGUGCUCCUCUUCCACUCCAGCUCUCUGCUGUGGCCCUGGAAGGCAGUGGAGAAUGGCCCAGGUCCUUGUUCUCUGCACCCACAUGGGAGACCAGGAAGAGGCACCUGGCUUCUGGCUUUGGAUCAGCGCAGCAUGCCGGCCGCGGCGGCCAUUGGAGGGUGAACCAAUGGCAAAGGAAGACCUUUCUAUCUGUCUCUCUCUCUCUCACUGUCCACUCUGCCUGUCAAAAAAAAAAUAAAUAAAAUUUAAAAAAAUAAAAAGAAAGAAAAAGAGAUGUGAGCAUUUGAGGUAGUGAAUCAGAUACCCCUUGGGACACCUGCAUCCUGUAUCAGAAAACCUGGGUUUGGAUCCCAGCUCUGCUUCCAAUUCCGGAUCCUGGGAGGCAGGAGAUGAUGACUCAGGUACUCCAGUCCCUGUCACCCACGUGAGAAGACUUGGACUGAAUUUUUGGCUCCUGACUUCAACAGCUGUUGUGGGCACUUGGGGAGUGAACCACCGGGUAGGAGAUCUCUGUCUGUCUCUCUGUCUCUCUGCCUUUCAAAUAAAUAAAAAUUUUAAAAGAGAGAAAUCAAAAGGCGGCCAUCAGUGCAGCAAACUCCGUGGCAGGUAUAUUCAGUUGGUGCUAACGGACGUUCCAGGAAUCCCUGGGAAGAAGUCCGAUCUGACACUGCAUGUGCUCUCUAGUCUUCAAUUAGCUUCUCCCAUUUGCUUUUGAUGCCGAUCCACCUCCUUCCUGGAUUUUCCUUUUCCCCAAGCUUGUCUGCAGGCAAGUUUGUGGAGAACCAGCCUCUGUUAUAAUUUUGGUGGGAGAAACAGAAGCCAGAAGACCAGUGAAAAGCAACUUGGCACUGUGUGUCCACCUCAUGGAAUUAUGCAAUGUCUGACCCAGCCACUCAUCCAGAGACGCACACGCGCAAUGAAGAAGAUCCGUGAGGGUAUAGUGCACGCCAUGAUGACUGUGUCCCCGUCCAUGCAGCAGUGUCCAGGUGCAUUUAACGGUCGUCCACUGAGUGGGAGGUGGAGCCGACACCUGGACCACAGUCCUGGGCCUCUGAAGUCUGGAGUCAGUCGCACUGCAAUGCACAGGUUACACGUUCAGCAGGCAAUUACUUUUAUCGUUGGACUUACGGAAAAAGAUUACCUGUUUUUUUGUUCAUCCCAAUACUUGUAAAAAAGCAAACUAAAAUGAAUUCAUUUUCUUUUUCCUUGCUCUAAAAUGUUGUUAUUGUUCUAUACACUGAGAAAAAUCAUCUUUAAAUGGAUUCUCUAUGUACUUGGAAAACAUUUUUGUAUUAAU